rnacentral:misc_RNA from 1 species
GAUGAAGAACGUAGCAAAAUGCGAUAAGUAAUGUGAAUUGCAGAAUUCAGUGAAUCAUCGAAUCUUUGAACGCACAUUGCGCCCGCCAGUAUUCUGGCGGGCAUGCCUGUUCGAGCGUCAUUUCAACCCUCAAGCACAGCUUGGUGUUGGGACUCGCGUUAAUUCGCGUUCCUCAAAUUGAUUGGCGGUCACGUCGAGCUUCCAUAGCGUAGUAGUAAAACCCUCGUUACUGGUAAUCGUCGCGGCCACGCCGUUAAACCCCAACUUCUGAAUGUUGACCUCGGAUCAGGUAGGAAUACCCGCUGAACUUAAGCACAUCAAUAAGCGGAGGA